rnacentral:rRNA from 1 species
CUACGGGCGGCUGCAGUGGGGAAUAUUGGACAAUGGGGGAAACCCUGAUCCAGCAAUGCCGCGUGUGUGAAGAAGGCCUGCGGGUUGUAAAGCACUUUCGGUUGGGAGGACUGCUUCUAGCACUAAUAUUGUUGGAAGUUGACGUUACCUUCAGAAGAAGCACCGGCUAACUCCGUGCCAGCAGCCGCGGUAAUACGGAGGGUGCAAGCGUUAAUCGGAAUUACUGGGCGUAAAGCGCGCGUAGGCGGCUAGAUCAGUCGGGUGUGAAAGCCCCGGGCGUAACCUGGGAACUGCAUCCGAUACUGUCUAGCUUGAGUACAGGAGAGGAGAGUGGAAUUCCACAUGUAGCGGUGAAAUGCGUAGAUAUGUGGAGGAACACCAAUGGCGAAGGCAGCUCUCUGGCCUGAUACUGACGCUGAGGCGCGAAAGCGUGGGGAGCAAACAGGAUUAGAUACCCUCGUAGUC